GCGAGAGUGGCGGAACUGGCAGACGCGCUAGACUUAGGAUCUAGUGCCCGAGAGGGCUUGGGGGUUCGAGUCCCCCCUCUCGCACCA
rnacentral:tRNA from 1 species